GAUGAACGCUGGCGGCGUGCCUAAUACAUGCAAGUCGAGCGAACAGACGAGGAGCUUGCUCCUCUGACGUUAGCGGCGGACGGGUGAGUAACACGUGGAUAACCUACCUAUAAGACUGGGAUAACUUCGGGAAACCGUAGCUAAUACCGGAUAAUAUAUUGAACAGCAUGGUUCAAUAGUGAAAGACGGUUUUGCUGUCACUUAUAGAUGGAUCCGCGCCGCAUUAGCUAGUUGGUAAGGUAACGGCUUACCAAGGCAACGAUGCGUAGCCGACCUGAGAGGGCGAUCGGCCACACUGGAACUGAGACACGGUCCAGACUCCUACGGGAGGCAGCAGUAGGGAAUCUUCCGCAAUGGGCGAAAGCCUGACGGAGCAACGCCGCGUGAGUGAUGAAGGUCUUCGGAUCGUAAAACUCUGUUAUUCGGGAAGAACAAAUGUGUAAGUAACUAUGCACGUCUUGACGGUACCUAAUCAGAAAGCCCCGGCUAACUACGUG
rnacentral:rRNA from 1 species